CAGGGCCCAGCUCCUUCUGCGGCUGCCUUCCCAGCUCCUUCUGCGGCCGUCUACUGACUGUUUUUGGCAGGACAGGGAGAUUUCUGUCAUUCUGAAAAGCCCACACUGUGAGUACAUUGUGAUUGGACUUGGUUUUUAUUUUGAUUAUUAUUAUCCUUUGCCUAGUCUGACAGGAAGCUCCAAGCAGGGAUCAGAGUGGACCGGCUGGGGAUAUAAUGUUUGUUAAGACCUUCAGUGGUUGUGGUACUGAGGUCUUCUAUUCCUUUCCCAAUAGCUGAGCAUAAGUGAUUAUAACGGCAGUUAGGGUGUAGAGGAAUAGGGUAGAUGAAUGCAGCUUCCAAGACGAUUCUCCCCAGCAAAUAAAAUAUUUCCCAAGCAUGAGCCUAGACUUCAUGAAGUGUACAACAGGAAUGAUCUUUAUCGACGCCACACUGGCUUUUAUGGAAAUCCUCCUGCCAGAGGACCUCCUACAAUAAACAAAAGGAACAACCAUUCAUUAUACAGUUUUACAGUAAAACCCUCCUUUCCUCUGCCUGGGAGAUUCUGAGAUAAGUUAAGGAAUAACCCAAUUAUCUCCAGGCAGAGGACACACAAUUUCCCCAAAACUUGGAACACCCCUUUAUACACAAGGUAUCCCCACAAAUGUCCACUGAUAGCCCAUAUCUGGAGACCAACAUAUUCAAAUUCCACCCAGAUCGGUUUAGGGGUUCUCAAAAAGUGUGGAAGUCUUAGUUCACUGACCGCACACGAGCUCCUGCCCAAAACAGUUCCACGAAUUCAGUGUGUGCGGUCGGUCAAUUCAGAGAACAGCAUAAAAAUGAAUAAAAGCACGAACGGAGCCUCCUGGCUCAUAGGAGCGAUUGCUUCCCGUAUUCGUAUGAACCAAACUACCGAAUGGCGCUCUCCUAGCUGUU